rnacentral:misc_RNA from 1 species
CAACAGCGAGAAGGAAAGAGAGCAAGCUGGUAUAUAUGAUGCUUGUGGAUGCCUGUGGAUGUAUUUAGCUGGACUAAGGACAUCUGAAGGAAGCUCUCAUGCGCAUUACAACCUAUUCUAUGACCCACUGAAACAUAAUGGUCCUAUACUUCCACCAGCAGCAGCUUUAGCUCCAACUGUGUGGCCUCAGUUUCACCUUCGUUGGGCUUGCCCCUCAGAGGCGCAAGGUGGGGAAGUUGAAGCUGAAUGCAGGAAGCUGACGAGAAAAUUCUCUGAGCUGCAAAGGGCCAAAGAACUAGCAGAAACAAGACUUAACGAAGCAAGUGUCUCCGUGGAGUCCUUAGUUACAGAACUGAGAAAUGAGAAACUUGCAAGCACCUCUGCCAGGGAUGCGGUAAAAAGAGCAAGCAAAGAAACUGCUACUAUAAAGCGUGCAGUACAAUCUUUGGGGUUCAAUGUCUACUUUACAGCAGAUGGAGACUGUAAUGUAGGCAUUGAAAGGAACCCAACCGAAAUCCCUCAGCGAUCUAUCUGCUCAGUUUUUACAAAAGAUAUUAAUGGCACAGUGUCCCACAGUGAGAAAG